UACGUAGGGGGCAAGCGUUGUCCGGAUUCAUUGGGCGUAAAGAGCGUGUAGGCGGCUUGGCAAGUCCGUUGUGAAAACUCGAGGCUCAACCUCGAGACGCCGGUGGAAACUGCAAAGCUAGAGUCCGGAAGAGGAGAGUGGAAUUCCUGGUGUAGCGGUGAAAUGCGCAGAUAUCAGGAAGAACACCCGUGGCGAAGGCGGCUCUCUGGGACGUUACUGACGCUGAGACGCGAAAGCGUGGGGAGCAAACAGG
rnacentral:rRNA from 1 species